UUCUAACAACUAGAGAGGGAU
rnacentral:piRNA from 1 species